ACUCUUGACCCCGGUACCCAUAAUGUGUGGAACUCAUGAUCAGAGAAUCUUGAUUCUCGAUCACUGAGUCUCAAAUAUGUAGGAUUCUACAUCAGCCAUCAGAUUAGAUAGGAACCUCUAAUGUGUGUGACCCCGCAGGUUCGAACCUAAGCCGGUAGCACAGGAACCAAUUCCUGUACUAAUCGAAGUGACCAUCUAGCAAUGGUACCCGAC
rnacentral:lncRNA from 1 species